CUUAUGGUGUCACUUAUCUCUCGAAUUCUCCCCUCGUGGUCCAGUAGCUGUUUGUCCCUCUUUUGCUCAGCUUCUUUAUUCUCUGUCAUUUGGUCUUCUAUAUCACUAAUUCUUUCUUCUGCCUCAUUUAUCCUAGCAGUUAGAGCCUCCAUUUUUUAUUGCACCUCAUUAAUAGCUUUUUUGAUUUCACCUUGGUUAGAUUUUAGUUCUUUUAUUUCUCCAGAAAGGGCUUUUAUAUCUCUCGAGAGGGUUUCUCUAAUAUCUUCCAUGCCUUUUUCGAGCCCGGCUAGAACCUUGAGAAUUGUCAUUCUGAACUCUAGAUCUGACAUAUUACCGAUGUCUGUAUUGAUUAGGUCCCUAGCCUUCGGUACUGCCUCUUGUUCUUUUUUUUGUGUUGAAUUUUUACGUCUUGUCAUUUUGUCCAGAUAAGAGUAAAUGAAGGGGCAAGUAAAAUACUAAAAGGGUGGCAACAACCCCAGGAAAAUAUGCUUUAACCAAAUUAGAAGAGAUCCAAAAUCGUGAGUGGGGAGAAAGGGGAUAAAAAGAGGUUCAAAAAGGAAGAAAGAAAAAAAAAACAAAAAGAAAAGAAAAAGAAAAAAAAAAAGAAAAGAAAAGAAUUUUUAAAAAAAGAAAACACCUGAGAAAAAUGUAAAAUAUAUAUAUAUAUAUAUAUAUAUAUAUAUUAGAUAAACUAGUAAAAAAUCGUUAAAAAAGAAAAAGGUAACAGUUAAAAAAAAAUUUUACCCGAAGGCGAGAAAAAAAAAAAAAUGAAAAAGAAAAAAUUAAAUUAACUGCAAGACUAAAAAAAAUCACAGGAAAAAAGCCAUGAGUUCCGUGCUUGGCUUUCUCCUCCUCUGGAAUUCUGCUGCUCUCCUUGGUAUUGAAACCGCACUCCUUGGUAGGUGAACUUGGUCUCGGCUGGAUUUCUUGUUGAUCUUCUGGGGGAGGGGCCUGUUGUAGUGAUUCUCAAGUGUCUUUGCCCCAGGCGGAAUUACACCGCCCUUACCCGGGGCCGGGGUGAGUAAUCCGCUCGGGUUUGCUUUCAGGAGCUUUUGUUCCCUGAGCGCUUUCCGUAGAGUUCCAGAGGACGGGAAUACAAAUGGCGGCCUCCUGGUCUCCGGCCCGGAGGAGCCGAGAGCCCAGGGCCCCACUCCUCAGGGCGCCCUCAGAGAACAGCGCCCAGUUACUCCCGUCUGCCUGACCUCCGGCCGUGCCCCGAGCUCACCGAGCCUGCGACCGGUUCAAGGAUCUAAGACUGUUUGACAAAGGAAUCUGAAUGAAUUCCAUUCUGAUGCUCAAGCUGGGAUCCAAAGGACCUAACCUAGUUAACAUGGCAAAAGGGCUGAGAGCUGUUUGAGAGCAGGAACACUUGUCUCUUCUCUGCUUCUCCUCCAGUUUCUAGCAGUGAUUCUGGGUGUGAUGGAAUAAGAAGUAACAGGAUUUAGGAAAACAUAUUUUUAAUAUUCCCUGCAAGGCCAUGACGAAGACCUUCACUGAAAUGAUAUUUCCUGCUUCUUGUGGCUCUGGAGCACAGAAGAUGAGAUUCUAGACCGGAAGCAAGACUGGAGGAAUUCUCUUAAAAAAUAAUGAUGGGGGCCCCUGGGUGGCUCAGUGGGUUAAAGCCUCUGCCUUCGGCUCAGGUCAUGAUCCCAGGGUCCUGGGAUCGAACCCCCGCAUCGGACUCUCUGCUCAGCGCCCCAGUGCCUGCCUCUCUGCCUACUUGUGAUUUC